AUACGGAGGGGGCUAGCGUUGUUCGGAAUUACUGGGCGUAAAGCGCGCGUAGGCGGAUUGUUAAGUCAGAAGUGAAAUCUACUCGCUUAACGAGUGAACUGCUUUUGAUACUGGCAGUCUUGAGUACUGGAGAGGUGAGCGGAAUUCCAGGUGUAGCGGUGAAAUGCGUAGAUAUCGGGAGGAACACCAGUGGCGAAGGCGGCUUUCUGGACCAAUUCUGACGCUGAGGCGCGAAAGCGUGGGGAGCAAACAGGAUUAGAUACCCCGGUAGUCC
rnacentral:rRNA from 1 species